UUAAGCGACUAAGCGUACACGGUGGAUGCCCUGGCAGUCAGAGGCGAUGAAGGACGUGCUAAUCUGCGAUAAGCGUCGGUAAGGUGAUAUGAACCGUUAUAACCGGCGAUUUCCGAAUGGGGAAACCCAGUGUGUUUCGACACACUAUCAUUAACUGAAUCCAUAGGUUAAUGAGGCGAACCGGGGGAACUGAAACAUCUAAGUACCCCGAGGAAAAGAAAUCAACCGAGAUUCCCCCAGUAGCGGCGAGCGAACGGGGAGCAGCCCAGAGCCUGAAUCAGUGUGUGUGUUAGUGGAAGCGUCUGGAAAGGCGCGCGAUACAGGGUGACAGCCCCGUACACAAAAAUGCACAUACUGUGAGCUCGAUGAGUAGGGCGGGACACGUGGUAUCCUGUCUGAAUAUGGGGGGACCAUCCUCCAAGGCUAAAUACUCCUGACUGACCGAUAGUGAACCAGUACCGUGAGGGAAAGGCGAAAAGAACCCCGGCGAGGGGAGUGAAAAAGAACCUGAAACCGUGUACGUACAAGCAGUGGGAGCCUCUUUAUGGGGUGACUGCGUACCUUUUGUAUAAUGGGUCAGCGACUUAUAUUCUGUAGCAAGGUUAACCGAAUAGGGGAGCCGAAGGGAAACCGAGUCUUAACUGGGCGUUAAGUUGCAGGGUAUAGACCCGAAACCCGGUGAUCUAGCCAUGGGCAGGUUGAAGGUUGGGUAACACUAACUGGAGGACCGAACCGACUAAUGUUGAAAAAUUAGCGGAUGACUUGUGGCUGGGGGUGAAAGGCCAAUCAAACCGGGAGAUAGCUGGUUCUCCCCGAAAGCUAUUUAGGUAGCGCCUCGUGAAUUCAUCUCCGGGGGUAGAGCACUGUUUCGGCAAGGGGGUCAUCCCGACUUACCAACCCGAUGCAAACUGCGAAUACCGGAGAAUGUUAUCACGGGAGACACACGGCGGGUGCUAACGUCCGUCGUGAAGAGGGAAACAACCCAGACCGCCAGCUAAGGUCCCAAAGUCAUGGUUAAGUGGGAAACGAUGUGGGAAGGCCCAGACAGCCAGGAUGUUGGCUUAGAAGCAGCCAUCAUUUAAAGAAAGCGUAAUAGCUCACUGGUCGAGUCGGCCUGCGCGGAAGAUGUAACGGGGCUAAACCAUGCACCGAAGCUGCGGCAGCGACACUAUGUGUUGUUGGGUAGGGGAGCGUUCUGUAAGCCUGUGAAGGUGUGCUGUGAGGUAUGCUGGAGGUAUCAGAAGUGCGAAUGCUGACAUAAGUAACGAUAAAGCGGGUGAAAAGCCCGCUCGCCGGAAGACCAAGGGUUCCUGUCCAACGUUAAUCGGGGCAGGGUGAGUCGACCCCUAAGGCGAGGCCGAAAGGCGUAGUCGAUGGGAAACAGGUUAAUAUUCCUGUACUUGGUGUUACUGCGAAGGGGGGACGGAGAAGGCUAUGUUGGCCGGGCGACGGUUGUCCCGGUUUAAGCGUGUAGGCUGGUUUUCCAGGCAAAUCCGGAAAAUCAAGGCUGAGGCGUGAUGACGAGGCACUACGGUGCUGAAGCAACAAAUGCCCUGCUUCCAGGAAAAGCCUCUAAGCAUCAGGUAACAUCAAAUCGUACCCCAAACCGACACAGGUGGUCAGGUAGAGAAUACCAAGGCGCUUGAGAGAACUCGGGUGAAGGAACUAGGCAAAAUGGUGCCGUAACUUCGGGAGAAGGCACGCUGAUAUGUAGGUGAAGUCCCUUGCGGAUGGAGCUGAAAUCAGUCGAAGAUACCAGCUGGCUGCAACUGUUUAUUAAAAACACAGCACUGUGCAAACACGAAAGUGGACGUAUACGGUGUGACGCCUGCCCGGUGCCGGAAGGUUAAUUGAUGGGGUUAGCGGUAACGCGAAGCUCUUGAUCGAAGCCCCGGUAAACGGCGGCCGUAACUAUAACGGUCCUAAGGUAGCGAAAUUCCUUGUCGGGUAAGUUCCGACCUGCACGAAUGGCGUAAUGAUGGCCAGGCUGUCUCCACCCGAGACUCAGUGAAAUUGAACUCGCUGUGAAGAUGCAGUGUACCCGCGGCAAGACGGAAAGACCCCGUGAACCUUUACUAUAGCUUGACACUGAACAUUGAGCCUUGAUGUGUAG
rnacentral:rRNA from 1 species